CCCGAGCGAGCUAACUGCAGUCGAGCGGGGAGGUUGCUUCGGUAACUAACCUAGCGGCGGACGGGUGAGUAAUGCUUAGGAAUCUGCCUAUUAGUGGGGGACAACGUUCCGAAAGGAACGCUAAUACCGCAUACGCCCUACGGGGGAAAGCAGGGGAUCUUCGGACCUUGCGCUAAUAGAUGAGCCUAAGUCGGAUUAGCUAGUUGGUGGGGUAAAGGCCUACCAAGGCGACGAUCUGUAGCGGGUCUGAGAGGAUGAUCCGCCACACUGGGACUGAGACACGGCCCAGACUCCUACGGGAGGCAGCAGUGGGGAAUAUUGGACAAUGGGCGCAAGCCUGAUCCAGCCAUGCCGCGUGUGUGAAGAAGGCCUUUUGGUUGUAAAGCACUUUAAGCGAGGAGGAGGCUCCUUUAGUUAAUACCUAAAGAGAGUGGACGUUACUCGCAGAAUAAGCACCGGCUAACUCUGUGCCAGCAGCCGCGGUAAUACAGAGGGUGCGAGCGUUAAUCGGAUUUACUGGGCGUAAAGCGUGCGUAGGCGGCUUUUUAAGUCGGAUGUGAAAUCCCUGAGCUUAACUUAGGAAUUGCAUUCGAUACUGGAAAGCUAGAGUAUGGGAGAGGAUGGUAGAAUUCCAGGUGUAGCGGUGAAAUGCGUAGAGAUCUGGAGGAAUACCGAUGGCGAAGGCAGCCAUCUGGCCUAAUACUGACGCUGAGGUACAAAAGCAUGUNGAGCAAACAGGAUUAGAUACCCUGGUAGUCCAUGCCGUAAACGAUGUCUACUAACCGUUGGGGCCUUUGAGCUUUUAGUGGCGCACCUUACGCGAUAAGUAAACCCCCUGGGGAGUACGGCCCCAAAACUAAAACUCAAAUGAAUUGACGGGCGCCCCGCCAAACGGGGGAACCAUGUGGUUAAUUUCAUGGAACGGAAA
rnacentral:rRNA from 1 species